rnacentral:rRNA from 1 species
GUGUCAGCCGCCGCGGUAAUACGGAGGGUGCGAGCGUUGUCCGGAAUCAUUGGGUGUAAAGGGUGCGUAGGCGGGCUGCUAAGUCUGGGGUGAAAUCCUGCCGCUUAACGGUAGAAUGGCCCCCGAUACUGGCAGUCUUGAGUACAGAAGAGGUCGGUGGAAUUCGUAGUGUAGCGGUGAAAUGCAUAGAUAUUACGAAGAACACCAGUGGCGAAGGCGGCCGGCUGGUCUGUAACUGACGCUGAGGCACGAAAGCGUGGGGAGCGAACAGGAUUAGAUACCCUGGUAUUCCACGCCGUAAACGAUGAAUGCCAGCUGUCGGGCAGCAUGCUGUUCGGUGGCGCAGCUAACGCAUUAAGCAUUCCGCCUGGGGAGUACGGUCGCAAGAUUAAAACUUAAAUGAAUUGACGGGG